GUGCCAGCAGCAGCGGUAAUACGUAGGGUGCAAGCGUUAAUCGGAAUUACUGGGCGUAAAGCGUGCGCAGGCGGUCGUGCAAGACAGGUGUGAAAUCCCCGGGCUUAACCUGGGAACUGCACUUGUGACUGCACGGCUGGAGUGCGGCAGAGGGGGAUGGAAUUCCGCGUGUAGCAGUGAAAUGCGUAGAUAUGCGGAGGAACACCGAUGGCGAAGGCAACCCCCUGGGCCUGCAAUGACGCUCAUGCACGAAAGCGUGGGGAGCAAACAGGAUUAGAUACCCUGGUAGUCCACGCCCUAAACGAUGUCAACUGGUUGUUGGGAAGGUUCCUUCUCAGUAACGUAGCUAACGCGUGAAGUUGACCGCCUGGGGAGUACGGCCGCAAGGUUGAAACUCAAAGAAAUUGACGG
rnacentral:rRNA from 1 species